UUACACAUGCAGUCGAGCGGUAAGGCCCUUCGGGGUACACGAGCGGCGAACGGGUGAGUAACACGUGAGCAACCUGCCCCUGACUCCGGGAUAAGCGGUGGAAACGCCGUCUAAUACCGGAUACGACCCGCCACCUCAUGGUGGAGGGUGGAAAGUUUUUCGGUCAGGGAUGGGCUCGCGGCCUAUCAGCUUGUUGGUGGGGUAACGGCCUACCAAGGCGAUUACGGGUAGCCGGCCUGAGAGGGCGACCGGCCACACUGGGACUGAGACACGGCCCAGACUCCUGCGGGAGGCAGCAGUGGGGAAUAUUGCGCAAUGGGCGAAAGCCUGACGCAGCGACGCCGCGUGGGGGAUGACGGCCUUCGGGUUGUAAACCUCUUUUACCACCAACGCAGGCUCGGAGUUUUCUUCGGGUUGACGGUAGGUGGGGAAUAAGGACCGGCUAACUACGUGCCAGCAGCCGCGGUAAUACGUAGGGUCCGAGCGUUGUCCGGAAUUAUUGGGCGUAAAGAGCUCGUAGGCGGCGUGUCGCGUCUGCUGUGAAAGACCGGGGCCCGGUUCUGCAGUGGAUACGGGGCAUGCUAGAGGUAGGUAGGGGAGACUGGAAUUCCUGGUGUAGCGGUGAAAUGCGCAGAUAUCAGAGGAACACCGGUGGCGAAAGGCGGGUCUCUGGGCCUUACCUGACGCUGAGGAGCGAAAGCAUGGGGAGCGAACAGGAUUAGAUACCCUGCUAGUCCAUGCCGUAACGUUGGGGCGCUACGUGUGGGGGACUUUCCACUGUUUUCCGCGCCGUAGCGUAACUGCAUUAAGCGCCCCCCGCCCUCCCUUUCCGGGAAAGG
rnacentral:rRNA from 1 species